rnacentral:rRNA from 1 species
CUACGGGCGGCUCCAGUGAGGAAUAUUGCACAAUGGGGGGAACCCUGAUGCAGCAACGCCGCGUGGAGGAUGACGCAUUUCGGUGUGUAAACUCCUUUUAUAUGUCAAGAAAAUGACGGUAGCAUAUGAAUAAGCACCGGCUAACUCCGUGCCAGCAGCCGCGGUAUACGGAGGGUGCAAGCGUUACUCGGAAUCACUGGGCGUAAAGGACGCGUAGGCGGGUUGGAAAGUCAGGUGUGAAAUCCUACAGCUUAACUGUAGAACUGCAAUUGAAACUUCUAAUCUAGAGUAUGGGAGGGGGAGAUGGAAUUAGUGGUGUAGGGGUAAAAUCCGUAGAUAUCACUAGGAAUACCUAAAGCGAAGGCGAUCUCCUGGAACAUUACUGACGCUAAGGCGUGAAAGCGUGGGGAGCAAACAGGAUUAGAUACCCGUGUAGUC